GACGAACGCUGGCGGCGUGCUUAACACAUGCAAGUCGAACGGAAAGGCCCUGCUUUUGUGGGGUGCUCGAGUGGCGAACGGGUGAGUAACACGUGAGUAACCUGCCCUUGACUUUGGGAUAACUUCAGGAAACUGGGGCUAAUACCGGAUAGGAGCUCCUGCUGCAUGGUGGGGGUUGGAAAGUUUCGGCGGUUGGGGAUGGACUCGCGGCUUAUCAGCUUGUUGGUGGGGUAGUGGCUUACCAAGGCUUUGACGGGUAGCCGGCCUGAGAGGGUGACCGGCCACAUUGGGACUGAGAUACGGCCCAGACUCCUACGGGAGGCAGCAGUGGGGAAUAUUGCACAAUGGGCGGAGGCCUGAUGCAGCAACGCCGCGUGCGGGAUGACGGCCUUCGGGUUGUAAACCGCUUUCGCCUGUGACGAAGCGUGAGUGACGGUAAUGGGGAAAGAAGCACCGGCGAACUACGU
rnacentral:rRNA from 1 species